rnacentral:rRNA from 1 species
UACGUAGGGUGCGAGCGUUGUCCGGAAUUACUGGGCGUAAAGAGCUCGUAGGUGGUUUGUCACGUCGUCUGUGAAAUUCCGGGGCUUAACCUCGGGCGUGCAGGCGAUACGGGCAAUACUUGAGUGCUGUAGGGGAGACUGGAAUUCCUGGUGUAGCGGUGAAAUGCGCAGAUAUCAGGAGGAACACCAAUGGCGAAGGCAGGUCUCUGGGCAGUUACUGACGCUGAGGAGCGAAAGCAUGGGUAGCGAACGGGAUUAGAUACCCCGGUA